AGAACUGGGGAGCCUGAUGAAGAGGAGGGAACUUUCCGGAGCUCCAUCCGUCGUCUGUCCACCCGCAUGCGGUAGAGAAUCCUGAAGCCACGGAGCCCAGAGCAAUCCUGCAGCGCAGCCCGGGCUGGGGGGGUGGGGUGGAGAGGAGGCGGGGAGGGGGCAGGGAGGCAAGGUGGCCAGGCGGGCUGGAAGCCUCCCACCCAUCCAUCCACCCCACAGGAUCUGCACACCUGCCUGCCACCUCCCCCCCCGCCCCAGCCCCAGCAGAUGCCCCCAUGCCGGCUAGAAUUCCAAUAAAACGUGCUUUUUCUCUCCA